rnacentral:rRNA from 1 species
CACUGCCGAGAAAAGCCUCUAGAUAGAAAAUAGGUGCCCGUACCGCAAACCGACACAGGUAGUCAAGAUGAGAAUUCUAAGGUGAGCGAGCGAACUCUCGUUAAGGAACUCGGCAAAAUGACCCCGUAACUUCGGGAGAAGGGGUGCUCUUUAGGGUUAACGCCCAGAAGAGCCGCAGUGAAUAGGCCCAAGCGACUGUUUAUCAAAAACACAGGUCUCUGCUAAACCGUAAGGUGAUGUAUAGGGGCUGACGCCUGCCCGGUGCUGGAAGGUUAAGAGGAGUGGUUAGCUUCUGCGAAGCUACGAAUCGAAGCCCCAGUAAACGGCGGCCGUAACUAUAACGGUCCUAAGGUAGCGAAAUUCCUUGUCGGGUAAGUUCCGACCCGCACGAAAGGCGUAACGAUUUGGGCACUGUCUCAACGAGAGACUCGGUGAAAUCAUAGUACCUGUGAAGAUGCAGGUUACCCGCGACAGGACGGAAAGACCCCGUGGAGCUUUACUGUAGCCUGAUA